GCCUUCUGUAGGACAGGCACUGAGUUAAAACUGGGAAAACGAGGCUUCCAUCGUGGCUUCCGUAAUGAUGCCAGCAGCAUGUACACAGAAGAUAAGUAACUUAGUAGACAGUCAAGACUAGGUAGGGCGAACCUUUUUCUUAAUGUCCAAUGUCCUUUGUCUUAAGAGUUCGUGCAAUAUGU